rnacentral:rRNA from 1 species
CAGCAGCCACGGUAAUACAGAGGGUGCGAGCGUUAAUCGGAUUUACUGGGCGUAAAGCGUGCGUAGGCGGCUUCUUAAGUCGGAUGUGAAAUCCAUGAGCUUAACUUAGGAAUUGCAUUCGAUACUGGGAAGCUAGAGUAUGGGAGAGGAUGGUAGAAUUCCAGGUGUAGCGGUGAAAUGCGUAGAGAUCUGGAGGAAUACCGAUGGCGAAGGCAGCCAUCUGGCCUAAUACUGACGCUGAGGUACGAAAGCAUGGGGAGCAAACAGGAUUAGAUACCCCGGUAGUCCCUGUCUCUUAUAC